UCAAUAAAUGUUUCUCCUGUUCGGCCCGCAACCUAAGAUGUGUUUCAGAUUUUGGCCCCUUGUCGAUUGAGUUUGACACCCAAGCUUUUAAUGAACCUAAGUUUUUUAAGCCUGAGUACGACCUGAAAUGACAGAAAUCAUAUCAUGAAGAAAAUUAGAAUUUUGAAAUAUCUAUCAACCCAUCUUCUUCCGCUCAUCUGGGACUGGGUUGUGGGGGCAGCAGUCUAAGCAAAGAUGGCCAGACUUCCCUCUCCCUGGUCACUUCCUCCAGCUCCUCUGGGGGGACCCCGAGAUGUUACCAGACCAGCCAAGAGACAUAGUUUCUCUAGGUUGGAGAGCAAACUACUUUUCUCCAGUCGAGAACCAUGGCCAUGGAUUACCAAACACAAUGACUAUUAGCUGUUUAUUUCUCUGUAGAAGUCUAUGGAAUUUUGGGUUUCUUUGAGCUAGUUGGAACGUCAGGGAGGCGGGGUCACUCAGUCCAGUUCUUAUAUACAGUCAGUGGUUUUAUGGCGUUGAAAAGAGGCUGAUUGGUGUGUUCUCUUCUAGAAACCAACUCUAGAAAUGUUCAGGAUUGUUUAGAACCUGCUGGGGGGUCACAUACCUCAGUUCUUUUGGGUCGUCUCUUUUGGUGAAGCUUGUUCAAAGCCAUGAUGGACAUUGGGCAAAACAUAAACAACUUUUUUUUUUUUAUUUAUUUUUUUUUUUUUGAGAGCGAGUUGUGAAAUGUCUGUUUUUGGUUUGUAACUUCCUCUCGAGCCUCCAGACAGUCAUUUCUUGGCCGUUAUUAGAUUAAAGCCCUCGUGAUGCCGCCAUGAAUGCCUCACAUUUUUUGUCAUUUGACGGCUCCUUCCUCGGAGCUGCCAGGGUUCGGAUCGGGACCCCCCUCUGGAAACUUUGGGUUCCAGCCAUAGGAAUGGAUUGGGGGGUGAGUCACAGGUGGAGGAUGUUUUGGUGUUCCUGAGACCUCCACCUCCUCCUACCCUCCCAGCUGAAAAAAAAAAAUCAACUUCAGGUGACAGCAAAAUGUUCACUUUGUUUCAAAUGUUACUUGUGUGCAUGCACACAAUUGAUGCGUGGGGGGUGUGGAGUGGUCAACUGAUGAGGCAGUGUGGAGGCUGAGAGCUCUGGAGAGUGCUGUGUGGGCUGGAAGCCUCCUCUCCUCGCCGUGGAGCGCACGCACACGCACGCUCACGCACGCACUCUCUCACGGCGGCGCUGGGGGGAGGAGGUGGAGGCAGCGGAGCUCGCCGCGCCGGCUGUCCAUUGAUCAGCGGAGAGGUUGGUAGACUUAAAAGAUCAGUGUGGAGAACGGCGGCGGCGGCGAGCGGAGCGGGGACAGAGGGGGCGAGGAUGUGGAGAUGGUCAAAGCCUGUUGGUAAGCUCCUGUUGGGGGUUGUUGGUGUGUUUUUGUGGGUUCAGUCGCGUUCACAUGCCUCAGCGUGCAGCCACUGCAGAGGGAGAGGAGAUGCCAGGCGUUGGUGCGAGCGCCGCAUCCAGCAUCCCGCCACUGCAGGCAAAUCCUCGGACUGCUGCAGCAUCAUUCUCAGGGACGGAGGCUGAGGGGGGGUGGAUGUCACCGGGAUGCAGGUGAAGCAUAAAGGGGGGGCUCAGUGGUCUUCCUGUCCGGACAGACUGAGGUGUUGAAACCUUCUGUUAAUCAGUGUCCCGCUGCUCCUCUCUGAUUGGUCGGAUCAGCAGCGAGGAGGAACCAGAUGAGGCGUUUAAAGACACUGAUUGAGUUUGAGUUGGGGGGGUAAUUAUUUAGGAGUGUUUCCCCCAGUCGUCCCCUCUCUGGGUUGGAUGAGUCUGAGCUGCGGAUCUAAACAAAGAAAGCACUUUUUUUAAGGAGGGGGGGCUCUCCCGGUGGUCCCCGCAGUUUCAGAGUCCCCCCCUCCACACGACCACCACCACCACCAUGAUCUAGAGGCAACACGCGUUGACGUGUCGCGCGCGGCGCUUCCGACCGCGCUUACGCACGCACGCGCGCGCGGCGCUCUCGCUGGGGACAUGCGGCCGGCGGACGCAGCCACGGACCAGCGUGGAGGUCGACCUGUGAUGGAAACGUCCUCCGGUUGGACGCCAGGCUCGGCGCAGCGGCGAGGGACGCCGAAAGGCUCCAGAGGAGGAACCCGUCUUGUUUUUGCAGCAGCAUGUAACUUGAUUUUUGUCUAAACGGCUCCGGUUCUGAAAAGCUAACCCAUAAACCACGACGGGACGCCUUUAUCUUCUCGGCCCCGCUGAGUUCUCCAGCUCCAAACCGCCACGAGACGCCUGGAAAUACUACAAAUACAACCAACAAAAAACCUAGAAUUGAGUCGAUUCAUAGCAAAAAUGUUUAUUUUGUCUUUUAUUAAAGCUGACAAAUAUUCCCAUACCAUGA